rnacentral:rRNA from 1 species
UACGUAGGGGGCUAGCGUUGUCCGGAUUUAUUGGGCGUAAAGAGCGUGUAGGCGGCCAGGUAGGUCUGCUGUGAAAACUCGAGGCUCAACCUCGAGACGUCGGCGGAAACCAUCUGGCUAGAGUCCGGAAGAGGAGAGUGGAAUUCCUGGUGUAGCGGUGAAAUGCGCAGAUAUCAGGAGGAACACCAAUGGCGAAGGCAGCUCGCUGGGACGGUGACUGACGCUGGAGGCGCGAAAGCGUGGGGAGCAAACGGG